UACGGGGGGGGGCAAGCGUUGUUCGGAAUUACUGGGCGUAAAGGGCUCGUAGUCGGCCAACUAAGUCGGACGUGAAAUCCCUCAGCUUAACUGGGGAACUGCGUCCGAUACUGGAUGGCUUGGAUUCGGGAGAGGGAUGCGGAAUUCCAGGUGUAGCGGUGAAAUGCGUAGAUAUCUGGAGGAACACCGGUGGCGAAGGCGGCAUCCUGGACCGAUAUUGACGCUGAGGAGCGAAAGCCAGGGGAGCAAACGGG
rnacentral:rRNA from 1 species